rnacentral:rRNA from 1 species
GACGAACGCUGGCGGCGUGCUUAACACAUGCAAGUCGAACGGUAAGGCCCUGCUUUUGUUGGGUGGUCGAGUGGCGAACGGGUGAGUAACACGUGAGUAACCUGCCCUUGACUUUGGGAUAACUUCCGGAAACGGGUGCUAAUACCGGAUAUGCACUCCUCCUCCAUGGUGGGUUGGUGAAAAUGUCGGUGGUGGUUGGGGGUGUACCGGCGGCUGAUCUGCUUGUUGGGGGGGUGGGGGCCCACGAAGGCUUUGGCGGGUAGCCGGCCUGGGAGGGUGACCGGCCAGAUUGGGACUGAGAUACGGCCCAGACUCGUACGGGAGGCAGCAGUGGGGAAUAUGGCACAAUGGGCGGAAGCCUGAUGCAGCAACGCGGCGUGCGGGAGGACGGGCUUCGGGUUGGAAAACGCUUUAGCCUGUGACGAAGCGUGAGUGACGGUAAUGGGUAAAGAAGCACCGGCUAACUACGUG